CAGUAGCCGCGGUAAUACAGAGGGUGCGAGCGUUAAUCGGAUUUACUGGGCGUAAAGCGUGCGUAGGCGGCUUCUUAAGUCGGAUGUGAAAUCCCUGAGCUUAACUUAGGAAUUGCAUUCGAUACUGGGAAGCUAGAGUAUGGGAGAGGAUGGUAGAAUUCCAGGUGUAGCGGUGAAAUGCGUAGAGAUCUGGAGGAAUACCGAUGGCGAAGGCAGCCAUCUGGCCUAAUACUGACGCUGAGGUACGAAAGCAUGGGGAGCAAACAGGAUUAGAUACCCCUGUAGUCCCUGUCUCUUAUAA
rnacentral:rRNA from 1 species